rnacentral:lncRNA from 1 species
CCCAACACUGAAUUCCACGUGCUUCCGCUUUGGAUCCGCAUAACUUUUCUGCCUACUAAAAGCUAUCUUCAGUCGCUCGCGAAUAACCGGAAUCUUUUCUGAAGUGAUCUGAACCAAUUCCGAUCCUGCUAACUUCCGUUCACCAACUUCUUCCCAACAUACGGGGGAUCUACACUUCCGACCAUACAAGGCCUCGAAAGGUGCCAUUUUGAUACUUGCAUGAUAGCU